GGGGUUUGAGUUCGAAAUUUUUUUGGGUUAACAUAUUUUUUUCAUUAGAGGAUGGAAAAAAAUAUAACGGAAAUAGAUCGGAUGUGGAAUCUUACACAUCGUCCGUUUGUCAAUUAGUCAACGUGCACGUGCUAAUUAGUCAGAAUAACGAGUGAACGACCUGUUGGCUCAGUGCCAACGAAGAUCGUAUAAAAACGAUCGUCACGGGAAGUGCUGGGCGAUCGUCCCCUCAGUGCGACCGUCCCUCCGAGCGAUCCUCAGGAAGGUCUGAAUCCAGUGUCUCCCGUCCGAUCCUGUCCGGUAGAAGACAUAAACCUGUGACAGAUAGCCAGCUUCCAUCGUCCAGAAGGAUCGUCGCAUACCGUCCUCCGACAGAAGGUUUUUCUCCUAUAGUUUUGUAAUAUUUAUGAUUUAUGGAAUUAUCUUAAUUCUAGAAAUUCAAUAGACUAGUUUAUGGAAUGAAAUGGAAUUGGUAAGUUUAUUUAAUUUCUUAUUUAUAAUUUCUAAAGAUUGCUGUUUCUCUUUUAAAAUUAUUUUUCCCAACAUGUUAUACUACGUGUUAUACUCGUAUCUGUUUGUAGUUAGUCUUCUGGAAGAAUAGUAGUUUACACUAAAUUGUUUUAGAUACGUUUUGAAGUUAAUAAUAAUGUUUUUAAUCAGCAGUCUAGGUUACCAGUUAAAUAUGGAUCAACUAGUAGACUCUUGAGACUAAGAAUGGUCAAAUUUAUGAUAUGGAAUAUAAAUUGCAAUCAGAGUCGGUAGAUUAUCUGGUCUUUCGACUGCCUAUCUUCGCUACUUGCUAAAAUCAACUAGAGACAAAUGUUACCACCAUGGCCACUGCAAUCACUACAAGACAGUGAUUCUCAACCUGUGGGUCGCGACGCCUUUGGGGGUCAAAGGAUCUUUUCACAGGGGUCACCUAAGACCAUCCGAAAACACAUAUAGCCGAUGGUCUUAGGAACCGAGACACCGCUUAUUGGAUUUCAAGGUUUGGUACUAAAUGAGUCACAGCAACGAGACGCAGCCACAAGACUUACAAGAAGUAAUGAAAAGCGUCAUAAGUUCUGUCGAUGUUGUAAAGGCGAGCACUUUAAACAGUCACUGUUUUCGCAAUUGUGCAACGAGUUGGAUGCGUCCAAUAAUGCUCUGCUAUUUCACACUGAAGUGAGAUGGUUGUCGCGAGGAAAAGUUUUAAAACGUGUUUUUGAGCUUCGUGAUGAACUCAAAAUGCUUUUUAAUCAGAAAGCAAGAUCGCAGUUCGAAGCACUUUUCAGCGAUAAAAGUGAACUGCAGAAAAUAGCUUACUUGGUUGACAUCUUUGCCAUCUUGAAUGAGUUAAAUUUAUCACUGCGAGGACCAAAUGCAACAUGUCUCGAUCUGUCUGAAAAGAUCCGAUCAUUCCAAAUGAAACUUCAGCUUUGGCAAAAAAAAAAAUUUGGAUGAAAAUAAAAUUUACAUGUUACCUACUUUAUCUGCUUUCUUUGAGACCAGACAAAAGGAUUACGA